UAGUGGCGAACGGGUGAGUAACACGUGGGCAAUCUGCCCUUCACUCUGGGACAAGCCCUGGAAACGGGGUCUAAUACCGGAUAACACCUGCCCGGGCAUCCGGGUGGGUUAAAAGCUCCGGCGGUGAAGGAUGAGCCCGCGGCCUAUCAGCUUGUUGGUGAGGUAGUGGCUCACCAAGGCGACGACGGGUAGCCGGCCUGAGAGGGCGACCGGCCACACUGGGACUGAGACACGGCCCAGACUCCUACGGGAGGCAGCAGUGGGGAAUAUUGCACAAUGGGCGAAAGCCUGAUGCAGCGACGCCGCGUGAGGGAUGACGGCCUUCGGGUUGUAAACCUCUUUCAGCAGGGAAGAAGCGAAAGUGACGGUACCUGCAGAAGAAGCGCCGGCUAACUACGUGCCAGCAGCCGCGNUAAUACGUAGGGCGCAAGCGUUGUCCGGAAUUAUUGGGCGUAAAGAGCUCGUAGGCGGCUUGUCACGUCGGGUGUGAAAGCCCGGGGCUUAACCCCGGGUCUGCAUUCGAUACGGNCUAGCUAGAGUGUGGNAGGGGAGAUCGGAAUUCCU
rnacentral:rRNA from 1 species